UGGCAUUUUUAAUUUAGGUUUGUUUUAUUUAAGUUUAAUGUUAAUUCCAUGCUGUGUUUCAGUAAGAACAAUACAGAUUCUGUAUCUGUGGCUCCAGUCAGAUAUCCAGUAGUACAAAUUAGCUUCAAGUUACACAUACUGAACAAAAGAGGUUGAGCGAGCGAAGGGAGAUGGGGAGGGGGGAGGGAGAAAAGAAAAAAUAUUGAACACGCAUGCAGGCUUAUCAAUGCCACCUUCAAUGCUAACCUGCUUGGAGGAAAAGUAAAGAAUAGGCAAGAAUGAGCAGCCACGGAUUGUUGAACUGUUACCAGCACCAUGUUUUUCAGCAACGUUUCAGCAGUAUGGAAGGUUUUUUUUUUUCCUUGUUUUUUUUUUUUUUUUUAAUUACAGUAACCCCACUACAAUAUACGUCCCAAUGCAACCUGUAACUUCAAGCUAAACAUCCAAUUAAGUUUCAACAUUGGUAUAAAAUUCAGUUUAAACAGUUAUAAAAAAAGAAAAAUGCCACCACAUGCAUGCUACCUCGUGAUAAGGAAUCUCCCCUACAAGUCUAACAGCCUCCAGGUGUCACAUCCACUUCUAAUGGCCAUCACCACGGCUGGCAGGAGACAACACAGUAAUGCUGAAAGAGCCUUUAUGCAGUCCUGUUAGUGUCUUAAAGAACCUAAAAGCUGGCACCAGUAAAAUCCACAGAAAUUCACUCUUGCCUUUAAGAACUUUUAAACUGUGUAAAAAAAAAAUAAAAAUAAAGAAACCCAACAGGGCAGGAACCUAAAUUCUGAGACCCAAUGUAAAAGUCAGAUUUGGUGGUUCUCAGAGUGACACUGAGGGUUUUUGUGGGGAGGGGGAAGGGUGGUCAGAGAUGGGUUCUCUUGUUGGCCUUUGUGUCUCACUGGUUUUCAUCUUCCACAUCCUGCAGCGCUUCUUUAUUCUGUUCUUCACCAUCACCCUGCAUGUCUG
rnacentral:lncRNA from 1 species